UUGGGGGUUUGGGUAACCCUCGGCAUGGUGGUACAUGGAGGGACAACCAGGCACAUCUGGGACACAAACAGAAAGAGCCACAGCUAUCCGUCAAGUGCAUCACCGAGAAAAGCAAGUGGAUAACAACUGAAAUGCACAGCCCUUUGACUGUGGCUCUCACUGGAGUGACUCACUCCGGGGGAAUGCAGCUGCAGAACUGCGGUUGCGAUAAGAUGCCACUGGGGAAAAUCAAGCCCUCCAUUCCGGGGCAGCAACUUUGGAUCAUAGUGUAAAUGAUAUGUCUGGCAACAACAGAGAGUGAUGGGUAGAUUAGGGUGUGAGCGAGAGCACCGGGGUUAAUUGUGCACCGAGUGGAAAGGCCGUUUGUGUCUUUCAAGUGACACAAGGCAGCAGUGACGAAACACUGCAAAGACUCUGUUUUCAAAAUGGAGUACAAAGUGGUGGCAUGUGUCCGUCUUUGUUUAUAGUGUCCGGCCUUUAUUUUCCAUUUGCUUAAAAACCCAGCCUCAUUGCUAUUUUUUCCAUUAAAAAGGAUGACGUUAAAGCUUCGGGACACAUUUUUUCCCCCCUCCCGUUUAAACAUCACGUUAACAGCCCACAUCAACAGCGACGCAUGAAGCCGGUGUCAUUUUUUUUUUUUUCUUUAAAGGUGCGUCAAUCUGGAGCCUUGAAUGUUAAUCACCCAGAUAAGCUGGUGUCACAACGUGGCCUACUUUGCCGUGUAUGGUGGCAUGUUAAAAAAACAAAAAACAAACAAACAAAAAACAAAACAUGUUCCACACGUCUAGAUGUGGGAGAACGAAGGGGAUUUUGUGGAACGUCAAGUCCCGUCACGCCUUUCGCGGCAUGUUCGCCUUGUUUUUGGCGCGCUCCGCUUUUGCGUCGUGAUCAGUGUUCACCUUUGUCAGAAAGGGUUGCCACGACACCACUAACUUGUGUAAUUAGUUUUUCCGUGUUUAAGGACCAGCUCACAGUGUGGGGUAAUGAAAUUUAAAUGCUAGCAAGAAAAAAAAAAAAAAAAAAAAGAUCAUGCUGUCAGUUUCACUUUACGUUUUAAGCAUUCUGCCAAGGCAUGCUCAGUAAAUCUUUAAUGGUGCAGACAACAUGAGAUGAGGUAAAACUAUUACUGGCUUAUUUCUGUGAUAUUUCACUUGCAGUUGGAUCAGUUCUGCUGCUGUGGUAGAAGUCUGGAAAAUAAGGUCUGGCUUAUUUGAUGAAAUGAUACAUUCUACUGUGUUGAAUGCUUAGUAGGUGAUGAUUUAACAAUAUAUUUCUGUGCCAUGAAAACUAAAAGCAGAGGUAUAAUACAGCGAUGGGGGUAUUAACACACUAAAAACUCUGGGAUAAAAAAGGUUUUUGUUUUUUAUAUUUUCCCAAACUAAGCAAUGUUAUGUACAUGGGCUCCAUAUGUAAGGCAGAUUGGAGUCACAACUGACUUCCUCUAUAGUACCCAUUUGUCUUGACAAGAAGGUAACAAAAAAAAAAAUGAAAUAAAAUAAAAAUGAAGAUGUAACUGUAUCGCAAGAUGUUCGCAUUGUUGACCCUACUGAUCACUUAUCAGGCCAGUUGAUCAUUAUUUAAAUAUAAAUAUUCGUAAAUCAUCUGAUUCAAUCAGGUUUGGGGUAGGGAUGAAACUUUUAACCAGGACUUUCUGUUAAAUUAGCGCUGAAUAAUGAAACUUUUGUGACACUGGACGCCGAAGUUUGUUAAAUCUUCACCACAUUCAAAUCUCUCCACAUAGCAGUUAUCCACAAAAAAAAAACAAAAAAAAAACAUCUUCCUAUAAUUUCCUCUUCCCUCUGUCUUGAGACUGUGAACGUUUGUCUCAGAUGUGGUGAUUUCAGCACAGCAGGAACACUUUUUUUUUUAACUUCACGAUUCAGCUCAUGUCAGUGCGGGCAAUCUGCACCGAAAGGUUCCCAGUCAGCUAAGGAGAAUCUUGAACGCAGGUGAACGAGGACAGAAUGUGUGCCAAGUGUUGGAUUUCUCAGGGAGAAGCGAGCCGAUGAGCUCCCUGCCUGUGCAGCUCGUCGUUAAAGCGCCUGAGCCGGCUACCCCACCCCGUCCACCGCCCGCCCCACCUUCAGCAUUGCCCUCCUUCCACACACACACACACACACACACCCUCUCCUGCAGGCCAGCCAGUGAGAGGUUUGAGUUACCGCCGGCACACUCAUUUUUCCAUUAUGAGUUCAUCUGCCUGCAGAAAAAGGAAGCCACUGCUGCAACCUGAAACCCUGGAGCACUCCGCGAGGGACUCUAGUCUUUCCAGUGCCCUCCAUUUUCUCAAUGAAAUUCCUCUGCCUCUCUCUCUCACAGAGGGCGGAGAAAAGCUGCGGCCAAAAGAAGAAACUAAACUUUUUUUUUUUCUUUCCUUUUUUCUUCUUGCUGCAGAGUGUCAGAGAGUUGAAAGGAGGAGUCUCGGAGGCUGAGAGGCAGUCGGCAUUCAUGGGGAAAAGUUUGUUUUCCUCUUGUACAUUUUGUUCUCUAGUUAGCCACGCUCACCAGAGACCUUUCAUCUCAAUGCAAAAAUAAACUUGGAAAAAGUGGCCAAAAUAUGGACUUACUCCACAAGAACAUUCUUGUAUUCACCAAUAUUGAUUGAUUUUAUAGGGUCCACAUUUAAUUUUUUUCUUUAUUUAAG